GCCUUGAACAAGCUAGUUCCAUUUUCUGGCUCUUUAGUCUCCUCAUUUGUAAAAUGAGGGGGCUGGAGUAAGUAAGCUCUAUAAGGCUCUCAGCUGUGACAUCUAUGCAUAAUCACAGAAGAUCGAAGUGUACAGAACACCAUGGAAACUGAAGAGAGAUUCUGAAAGGAGGCUUUAAGAGGUCACUUGCAUCCAGUGCUGCAGAGGUGUCAGAGACUGAGGACUUAAAUGAAGCCACUGAUUAGCAAUUUAAAGAUCCUCUCCAAGACAGGGUCUCACUGAGUGCAGCAGCGCGAUCUUGGCUCACUGCAACCUCUGCCUCCCAGGUCCAAGCGAUUCUCCCUCCUCAGCCUCCUGAGUAGCUGGCAUCACAGGUAUGAACCAUCAUGCCCAGCUAAUUUUUGUGAUUUUAGUAGAGACAGGGUUUCACCAUGUUGACCAGGCUGGUCUGGAACUCCUGACCUCAAGUGAUCCACCUGCCUCGGCCUCCUAAAGUGCUGGGAUUACAGACAUGAGCCACCAUGCCUGGCCGCUUUCUGCAUUUUAGUGUCACUCAGCCCUUGUUGUCUCUGAUUGUCAAGGCAACGACUACGUGUAAACUAAUGUGGACAGAGUCUUGGACAGAGAAAUGCCUCAGAAAUGUUUUGUGAUGAAGAUGAAGGAGAGGCGCUGGAAGCAGAAACUGGGGAGGGGGUAGGAUUUGUGUCUCCACUUACUCUUCACCC
rnacentral:antisense_RNA from 1 species